ACACUUAUUUGACAGACCUGGAACAGUUACUGUCUCCUGUUAAGGUUUCCACUCUUAAGUGGAAGAAAAAUGGCCUUGUGCUUUUUGAUUUUGGCAGCCAGGAUUGACGAGGAAUACAUGU
rnacentral:snoRNA from 1 species